rnacentral:rRNA from 1 species
UACGUAGGGGGCAAGCGUUGUCCGGAUUUAUUGGGCGUAAAGGGCGCGUAGGCGGUUUCUUAAGUUUGAAGUGACAGUGGGUGGCUUAACUACCCAAGGUCUUUGAAAACUGGGGAACUUGAGGACCAGAGAGGGACAUAGAAUUCCGGGUGGAGUGGUGAAAUGCGUAGAUAUCCGGAGGAAUACCAAAGGCGAAGGCAGUGUCCUGGAGGGUUAACUGACGCUGAGGCGCGAAAGCUAGGGGAGCGAACAGG